UGUAGGCAGCAGCAAUCCCUCAGGUUGAUUUGUGUGGAAAGUGAAUCCUCGCUGGCUAGGCGUUCAGCAGAGGCGCAACAGCCGCCGAGCCAGCCAAUUAUUGCCGGUCCUCCCCUCUAACACAGCUCUCGGUACCUACACAUUCUUCUCUGGGUCGGCCUCCCCCAACCCACUUUCCCGCGAGGACGGAGCUGAGGGGGCGGGGGCUCCCUCCCCGGAGCGUUUCCAAAGCUCGGAGGCAGCUCUAGGGGUGUGACAGUCCACAUGUUUAAGUCUAAUAGAAGGCAAAAAAAAUCACUGGAUAUGAAGGUGGGACACAGACCCAAGCCUGCAUCUACAUUCUCACAUUGAUGAUCUUAGGGCACCACUUUCAGAUAAAAACAUAGACCUGAAUGGCAUCAUCCAGUAUCCAAGGAAACCAUAAGAGAUGUGCCUGAGGUGCAGUACCCUGGAACGUAAUCCACCACGGCCAGGAUGCUGUACGUAGGAGCCUUCUAACCUGCCAUGUCCAGAAGUAUGUGAAAAUCCAGGAUGGAGCUGAAUUAUAUCCUCCUAGUUCAUACCCAGAAGGUCUCUAAGACCACGAUGACAGGAAAAUCUUCAGUGGUUCGAGAGACAAGCUGCUGGAAAUCCUGCACAUUUGUUCUAGAAGGAAGUGAGCUGAUAAGGAGAAUGAUCCCUUCUGAGAGAUCACCUCUUUUAAAAACUUUUAAAGGACUCCAAAUUAAGCCAUGUCCAUUUCUGGGACCCAUUUCCAUAUCCCUAUCACAAAAGCCAAUGUCACUUGCUUAAUGUUAGGUGAUUCCAAAAGCCUUCAUAAAGAGAGAGCAAAGGUGGGGAGGGAGAUAGUGAAUUGUGAGAACCUGUCAAAUAAUGGGACAUCUCUUUCAUUCCAAGCAUCAUGUUCUAUUUCACUUUGUAUUAUGAUUUAAGAAAAAGGAGAGAAAAAUGUGUCUUUUUAAAAAAAGGUAUUUUUUGCUAUUAAUAUUCAGUACUUCAUAUCUGAGUACUGAUCCAUCAUUCAUUACGUCUAGGGUAGAUCACAACCUAAUUUACAAAUUCAAAAGCGUAAGUCAGAUCAACUGCUCAAGGCCAUAUAUUUGCAAGAUAGAAUAUGCACUGAAAAUUUCCUGUCCUUGGACUGGUGUACGAGGCAAUGCUGGUUUUCUGUAAGAAUUUGUUCAUAUCUUAGAUUUAACUCAAUUUUGCUUAUCAGUUGAAAAUGUUUAACUUACAUCCACUUAUGUAAUGUAAAGUGUAAAUUUGAGCAGUGAUCUAGAAAGUUCAGGGCAAAGUAGUUUAAAUCAUUUGGCUCUUCCUAGAGGUUCUGAUUUUUUUCUUAACCUAAAAAAAUAGUUACUUAUGUGAUAGCUUUAGAUCUGAAAUAUAUCUGACACGUUAUUUUUAUUUGUUUGGUUUUCAGAAAUCAUAUCCAUAUUUUCUACUCUGUAGUCUUUAGCAAAAUGAAUCAAAGCCACUCUGUACCCAAAGCUAACACCAGUGUUAUCUUUUUUUUUUUUUUUUAAACAUUGCAGGGCUUUACCUCAAGUGCUAUGCAGUAAAUUUACAGGGAAAGAAAAUUGCUAUUAAAUUAUAACUGAGAGAAGCUGAUUUUAUUUUACAUAGCAAACAAAAAAUUCCUUCAUGAAAGGCUAUAAAACCCAUAUUAUUUACUGGAGAGACCUUUCCUGUCUCCCAGGUAAACACUUACAGUGUGUAGACUUGUGUAAAUACAUAUUUAGGAGUGGCUAAAUAUGGUGAGGUAUUUUUAAAGGCAUAUUUACAAAGCUGAAUACAUAUACUGGCAAUUUGGUAUGUGUGAGCUGUGUAUGCUGCUCUGCUGUCUAUUCAGAAUCCUAGCAGGGCGCGGGUAGGUACACCUUGGAUAUAGGGACCAAGUUUCAAAACAUUCAUCUUUAAUCAAAAUUACUAAAGACAGGUCCUUAAAUCAUUUCAAAAGGGUGAAAAUUUUCAACUAAUGGAGUUUCUCGCCAGUUUGACUUGAGGAAAAUUGUUUCAGAAAUGCAGGCAUCGUUCACAGAAAUAAAUCUCCUUUCUGAACAUCUUUGUGCAUAACAUAACCAUCAUUUUACAUUCAGCUCAGAAUAUUAGCACAUACUCAAAGAUACAGUCCAUGAUGAAUGGAUCAACUAGGAAGCUUUAGUUAAGGCGGAAAAUGCCAUUAAGAUAUUUUUAAAAAUACUUCUGAAACACACGGAAAUGUAGGUGAUAAAAUCUGCCUGUUGUUAAUUCAAUGGCAGGAAGCUUCCUAUGAUAAUGCAGCGAAACUCCGUCUACAGGAUUCACGAUGUCUUUGUGCCGCUGGCUUCUUGGGAAUGUGUUCUCUAUGAGGAAGAGAAAGAGAUAGGAACAGAGAGGUUGUAGGUGCAUGAAAGAACACUAACUGUGCCUCCGCUGUCUGCUGUCCCUCAGAAUGAAUAAGGAUCCCAUUUGCGUAAGAGCCCUUUUAAAGAUGGAGAAGUUCAGAGCUUGGCUAUCUCGGACCUUUUGCUAAGAAGUCUAAACAAUGCUUCUAUUUUAUUUCUAAUGCAAUAUACAGCUAUUUUUAAAUAGUCUCAAUAUCUUGCAAUGGGAUUAUUGAAAAUCUUAUAAUGGUAAGCUAUAUGAGGGACAAAAACCAUUCAGACUAUUCAGGGAAAUAAUUUCUCCAAUAAAAUUUGCACUGAAAUGAGUUUUUUUUUUUUUUAACAUUACAGACAUAUACAUCACAUGUAAAUAUUUUUUCCCAAAGUACAAA